UACGUAGGAUGCAAGCGUUGUCCGGAAUUAUUGGGCGUAAAGAGCGUGUAGGCGGCCAGACAAGUCUGCUGUGAAAACUCGAGGCUCAACCUCGAGCUGUCGGUGGAAACUGUUUGGCUAGAGUCCGGAAGAGGAGAGUGGAAUUCCUGGUGUAGCGGUGAAAUGCGCAGAUAUCAGGAAGAACACCUAUGGCGAAGGCAGCUCUCUGGGACGGUACUGACGCUGAGACGCGAAAGCGUGGGGAGCGAACAGG
rnacentral:rRNA from 1 species